CCAGAGAACUUUCCAGAGAUGGAUUGGUGCCCUUCGGGAACUCUGAGACAGGUGCUGCAUGGCUGUCGUCAGCUCGUGUUGUGAAAUGUUGGGUUAAGUCCCGCAACGAGCGCAACCCUUAUCCUUUGUUGCCAGCGGUUAGGCCGGGAACUCAAAGGAGACUGCCAGUGAUAAACUGGAGGAAGGUGGGGAUGACGUCAAGUCAUCAUGGCCCUUACGAGUAGGGCUACACACGUGCUACAAUGGCGCAUACAAAGAGAAGCGACCUCGCGAGAGCAAGCGGACCUCAUAAAGUGCGUCGUAGUCCGGAUUGGAGUCUGCAACUCGACUCCAUGAAGUCGGAAUCGCUAGUAAUCGUGGAUCAGAAUGCCACGGUGAAUACGUUCCCGGGCCUUGUACACACCGCCCGUCACACCAUGGGAGUGGGUUGCAAAAGAAGUAGGUAGCUUAACCUUCGGGAGGGCGCUUACCACUUUGUGAUUCAUGACUGGGGUGAAGUCGUAACAAGGUAGGCGUAGCGAG
rnacentral:rRNA from 1 species